GGAGGUUUAACCAGGAAUAAGGUAUAAAAAGAGAUGUUUCAUAGAUGCACAAGGAAUCACUAAAGACAGAAAAGAAUCGUCCUUGUGAUAUAUCUCGUUUAUCGAUGGAGGUCCAUGAAGAGAAAUUAGCAACACUAAUGAGGUAGCCAUUCUACACAUCCCUAUAAUUGCUUCCGGAACUUACAGAUUACAAAUAUGAAGAAUUCGCAAACAACAAACGUGUACAAACUAAUCUCCCAAUUCACACAGCUAAAGACGAAAUCGAGCAUGCAAAUUAAAUAGACGCUACUAUCUGCAGGCGCCACCGCAAGUCAAAUCACAUUUUCCCCAAAGAUAGGAGCUCCAAAAUAACACGCGGAUGUCCUUUAACAUAGAAUCCAAGGACCUUUCACCGGGGAGGUCAAUCUCAAUCCCUUUUUCACCGAAACCCUAGGAAGCUCGAACCGGCCCUCGCUUCUCAUAAAACAACCUCACUUCCUGCAGCAUCCUCCCACUCGUCGACCACAACACGAACGGCGCUGACAUCACAACAUUCGACAGCUUCUACAAGGAGGUUACCGAGUCCGGCUCCAAUUCAAAGGGAGGAUCAGACAAACAAGCGGCGAUCGGAGUCCCAACAGGAGCGAAAACCCUAGGGAGGCCACGGGGGCCAAAAACGACUCGACAAUAGCGACCCCCGUCGGCCGGCGGGCGACGAAACCCGGCGACCGCCGAACGGCACGGGAACUUCGCGGCGCGAUCGGGCGGAAAUCCACGGAACGAGAAUCGCGAGCAGAGAAAUGCAACUGACCUUUGGGGGGCUUCGGCUCGCCGGAAGAAUUCCCUCUUCUUGGUUUUUUUUUAGGCCCCUUUUCUUUUCUCUUUCAGCCCGACGGAGACGACGAAUAUUCUGGUGUCGACG
rnacentral:lncRNA from 1 species